CCUUCAGUUUGUUCGGGCGCGCUGGCGAGAGGGCCGCCCCCUUCCAGGGACAUCCUAACAUUCCAACCUCUUAUUGGUGAUAAUGGGCAAUGGAUCUGAUCUGGCUGCUUCCUGCGGUGUAAGGGCAAGGCCAUAGUAUGUGGGGUCUGAGGUUGGGAUGCAGGAAUGGGGCCAGACCACCAUCUGAUGAAAUGCGACCUGGGAAACUUCAUGAAUUCGUUUCCGUACGAAACGGAGAAAACAAGUUUCCGUGGGUGAGGAAUCCAGCCCAGCCUGACCGAAUGCCUCUCUUCAGAGUCUCUCCCAAGUCUGCAAUCAAGGGGUCAGCCAGGAUGGCAGCCUUCUCAAGGCUCAACGAGGGGAGGAUCCAAUUCCAAGGAUGAAAUGGAUUCUAGAGAUGGCUGAUUGUAAUGGCUACACAACAAAAUGAAUGCACUUAGGUCAGAAAUAAUUGUCUCCUCUUGGAAGCCACUGAUGGGACAAAACUUUGACAUGGAUCUGCAGAGUGAAAGGAAUGAUUCAAAGGACUUUGGAAGUAAAAUGCAUCUGGGAAUCCACAACAUUUGUUUCAUUUAUUCAUUCAUUCAUUUGUAUACAUUUAUGUAUAUUCUUUCAUCUAUUUAUCCAGCCUAUGUAUUAGUUUUCUACCACAACAGUAACCAAUAUCACAAAUUUAGUAUUUUAAUAUAACACACAUAUAGUACCUUACAAUUAUGUAGGUUAGAAGUACAGGUGAAAAUCAAAGUAUCAGCUGGCUAGGAUCUCAUGUGGAAUCUCAGAAAAGAAUCUUGUAAACUUAUAAACCCAUUCAGGUUGUUGCCAGAAUCCAAUUCCUUACAGAUGUAGAGUGAGGUUUUCACUUUCUUUCUCACGGCCAGCUGGAGAUUUCCCUUAGCUCCUAGAUAUCCGUCUCUGAUCCUUGCUUAUGGCCUUCUACAUAUAGGAACCAACAACUGGGCAGUCAUCCUUCUCAUACUUGGAAUCUCUCCGACUUCCUGUUACCAGGAUAAUUCAGGAAAUGGUCCACACCAUCUUAGGGUUCAUAAUCUGCAUUAUAUCUGCAAAGUCCCUGUGAAUGUAACACAUUCACAUCCAGGGUGUGAACUUCUCUGGAGGGCCAUUCUGCUUACCAAAGCCAACAGUAAUUAUUGUUGCUAUGGACCUUUUCUAUUUUCAAUAAAUUCUAUCUCAAUGAAUGGAGGAGGAGGGCUGCUUGGUAACCUUGUCAAAGCCCUGCCAAGAAGUGACCUCUUAGCCACAGGUUUCAUGAACAACCUCACAUUUUAACCAUUAAAAAAACAAAACAAAACAAAAAACAAAACUCAUUUCCAACCCUGAACUAUGUUAGUAGUUUUCUACUGGUUAUUUAAAAAAUUAUCAAAGUGUAUUUUUUAGUUUAUAGAAUCAUAAAUAGCCGACAGAAAUUGCACACAAAUAUAUAAUAAGGAUAUGACUUGUGUAACUAAUUUAUUGCUAAAUCUUCUACCUUGUGGGGAAGUGGGGAUUCUCAUACACUGCUACUGAAAGGUAAAUUUCUGGAGUGUGAUUUGGCAACAUAUAGAAAAGACCCCAAAUAUGUAUAGUCUUUAACACAUAAAUUGUCA